rnacentral:rRNA from 1 species
AGUGAACGCUGGCGGUAGGCCUAACACAUGCAAGUCGAACGGCAGCACAGUAAGAGCUUGCUCUUACGGGUGGCGAGUGGCGGACGGGUGAGGAAUACAUCGGAAUCUACUUUUUCGUGGGGGAUAACGUAGGGAAACUUACGCUAAUACCGCAUACGACCUAUGGGUGAAAGCAGGGGAUCUUCGGACCUUGCGCGAUUGAAUGAGCCGAUGUCGGAUUAGCUAGUUGGCGGGGUAAAGGCCCACCAAGGCGACGAUCCGUAGCUGGUCUGAGAGGAUGAUCAGCCACACUGGAACUGAGACACGGUCCAGACUCCUACGGGAGGCAGCAGUGGGGAAUAUUGGACAAUGGGCGCAAGCCUGAUCCAGCCAUACCGCGUGGGUGAAGAAGGCCUUCGGGUUGUAAAGCCCUUUUGUUGGGAAAGAAAAGCAGCAGGUUAAUACCCCGCUGUUCUGACGGUACCCAAAGAAUAAGCACCGGCUAACUUCGCG